UACAGGCAAGUGAACUUUUCACUGUCUUAGUUCUAACUGGUUGUACUUGAUACCAUAUCCUGUCUGUCAUCCAUGGGUUUGCAGGUGAAAAAUGCAGCUCUUACUCCAAGUCUCUGUGUGAACCCAAUCCAGAGGGAAUAUUUUGGGACCAUUUCCUGUGUUUUGGACAGAAUAGAAGCCCUGGUUAAAUGAAGAGAGAAAUGUAGCCACCCCUUCUGACCCAAGAGGAGGGAAAAAAAUUUUCUUCAGUUUUACAGCCUAGGAUAUUCGUAUGCCAAGUUUGCAGUCCUGAUCAAUGGGAGAGUCUUGCUCAUCUAUCAAGCUCCAGCUCUUUCCCUGACAAUGCCUCAGGCCCUGUUAUCUGCUGCUGCCUUUCUGCAGACUCACACCAUCACCUGGAACCUGCUGAGUGCCAUCAAGUGAAAGAACAGUGAGAACUCACUGGUGGAAGAGCUGAGGUCUAAGCUUGCUGUUUGAGAGAGAGAACUUCAUCUGAGAAACAAAGACACCAAGGCUGCACUUCAGAACAAGAUAGUCUGCUCUGUUCCUUCAUGACUGAUAGAAGAGGUCACAAAGGCAAGUCUACCUCUGUAUCAGAGACAUGAGGUCAGGGACAGGGCCUCAACUUUGUACCCCAAAUAAAGCUAAAGCUUUAAGGUAAACCUGGUGGAUUUGGGAACUUUCCUGAACCUACUCAAGCUAUAACCAGUAAGAUGCAGCACUGUGGAGCCUUGGGUCUAUCUCCGUGGGGGAAAGUCCAGAGGACUGAGGCUGGGAAAUCUCAAAUAUAUAUGGGGAGAAGGAGCAGCGUAACUGCAGAAGCCCUACCCAUGGGUUUGGCUGAGAACAAGGCAGGAUGACGCACUGGAUGCCUUCAGGUAGAUGGAUUUCUGUAAAACUAUAUUAAUUUUGAUAAGGAAUACAUUUCUGCAGUUAUUGUUAAAACUGUAAAAGAAGAUUGUCUCCAUGACCCAGAGUUCAACUCAAAAUUUUUGCAAGAAAAUUUCAGUGGCUGCUGCACACAGUGCUUGAGUUAACAUCAUUAGAGUCCUGGAGCAGAGCCUCAUCAUUCUGUGAAAAGCACCAGUCCUCCUGCCUGCCUCGGUGUUUUUUUUCACUGUAUCUUCAGAUGUCAUUUUGAGCUGAGAGUUGAUGCUUGCACUUACAGAUCUUCCUUCCCUUGGUUAUCUUGUCUAUGAUAAAAAAAAUACUUUGGGCUAGGCAUUACUCUCACUGUAUUUUCUUAAUCUCUGGGACCAAAUGAGAAGGAGACAUUACUGUACUUUGCAAAGUAAACACAGAGUAGUAGAAAGCUAAAAAACUCAAAGAGACUGAUUAUUUUCUUAACUCUCUUAACCUCAAGAGGUUUCUUGUGCCCCAUGUCUCCUACAGGAAUGCUACUCCAGUACCUCACUGAUCAGAUGGAUAGAAACCUCAAUAGUGACUUUAACUACACCACCAACAUAUUAUUCAGAUUUGUUCUUGUGACAAGCUUGUCUUUUACCUCAAAAGUUCUUUUCCUUCUUCAGUAUUUCCUCACUAAUGUAACUAUGAUACAUCUUUUUGUUUCAUUAAUUGUGAGCAAGGUGCAGGAGAGGUGUGCAAGAAACAGGAUGACUACAUGUUUUGUACAGUGCCUUGCACAAUUGUCCAGUCAUGGUUCAGGGCUCCAUAGGCUGACUUUGUUUCAGCAGUGAAUAACGAUGACCCUCCAGAACACACUGCAUACUUUAUUCCAGAUGGACACCAUUAAUUCCUUCAAUUUUCAUUGAGAUGCAGAGCUUUACAAAAAGAAUACUAGCAAUUGGUUAUUUUUAUCACUGGUAUUUUCAAAGAAAUGAAGAAAUGAAAUGUACAGUAUAUUUCAGUUUGCAAUGAUCAUUCUGUUGUUCCAUUUGCAAUGGAAAUGAGCAUAUAACAUAUUCAUGUGUACAGAUAAGGAAAAUGACAAACAUUAACAUCCCUGGCUCUAUUCAUUUAUAAUAUUCAGUUUAAAAAAAAAAUCCUUCCAUUCGAUAGUUUUUAGUUUUGUUUCUGUAGCACAAUGCAAAACAACAAAGAGAGAAUUAAUGGAUAAAAUACAUUUAAUUACUUUCUAAGCAAGUUUC